UACAGAGGUCCCAAGCGUUGUUCGGAUUCACUGGGCGUAAAGGGUGCGUAGGCGGUCGGGUAAGUCUGAUGUGAAAUCUCACAGCUUAACUGUGAAACUGCAUUGGAUACUAUCCGGCUCGAGGAAUGGAGGGGAGACUGGAAUACUUGGUGUAGCAGUGAAAUGCGUAGAUAUCAAGUGGAACACCAGUGGCGAAGGCGAGUCUCUGAACAUUUCCUGACGCUGAGGCACGAAAGCCAGGGGAGCAAACGGG
rnacentral:rRNA from 1 species